UCAAAAUGAUGAGUGAAUGUCUGAUCUGAAAUCAGUGUGGAUUAAUUUUUGUACUGAAAGA
rnacentral:snoRNA from 1 species